rnacentral:rRNA from 1 species
UACGGAAGGUCCGGGCGUUAUCCGGAUUUAUUGGGUUUAAAGGGAGCGCAGGCGGCCUUUUAAGCGUGACGUGAAAUGUAGGCGCUCAACGUCUGAAUUGCGUCGCGAACUGUUAGGCUUGAGUAGACGGAAUGCCGGUGGAAUUCGUGGUGUAGCGGUGAAAUGCUUAGAUAUCACGAAGAACUCCGAUUGCGAAGGCAGCUGGCAGCAGUUUUACUGACGCUCAUGCUCGAAAGUGCGGGUAU